rnacentral:sRNA from 1 species
AACACUUCGUGUUUGCAAUAAAAAUCCUUUUAUGAAUUGCCAUGGGUUUUAACCCGUGGUAAUUCAUAAAAGAUUGUAAUGGAAAACGGGAAAAAGC